CGGUGUGUGUGCGUGCGUGUGUGUGGGAGCAUGAUUCGUAUAUACAUUUAUACAUACAUACACAUAAAGUAUAUUCACUGAUAUGUUUACACCAUUUCAACUGCACUAAUAUUUCUGUACUCUGGAUCUUUCGAUAACUUCCUUCACUGUAGGUUUGGGAUAGCUGUAAUGUUGUUUUAUUGUUUUGUCCACAUACAGUCAUCCCUCAAAUGGUACGGUUUACAAUAGUUUGGUUUCGGUUUUAUACGGAUUGUCAUGGAAGAUCUUGUAAGGAUUUUUGAAUUUCCUGCUCGUUGGGAAAUUUAAAAAUCCUAAAAAAAUUAUGAAAAUCCACAUAAAACUGAAACCGAACAUUGGAAACUGUACUAUUUGAGGGACGACUGCAGUUCAUAAUAUCCUGUUUUCAUUGCAUCAAACUACUGGAUAUUCCAACUAGAGGAAUUUGGUAUAAUGAACCUCUAGUGUAGUAUCCACAUAAAAAAAAUUACUUUGGAAAAUUGUGCGUACAUGAAAAAAUUGUUCAGAAUGCUUGUCGGACUUAAUUUUGAUAAUAUUUAACUUGUGCUGCAGCCUAAUUAUAGAAAUGUUAUCCCUGCCGUGAGUACAAAUAGGUAUGGUGUGUACAGAUUGGUUAGCAUAUACCUUGUGUCACUUGUAAACAAACACACACACACACACACACACACACACACACACACACAUGCAUUUUUUUGUGUAAUGAAUGCACACACAUAUAUAUUUGCUGUAAUUUGUAUACGCACAUAUAUAUAUAUUUGUAAUUUGUCUGCGCACUCACACACAUACAUAUAUACACGCACAUACAUCCACAUAAACUCAGUAUAGAUCGUCAAAUGUUUGUUUAUCACGUCACUUUUUUUAUUCCUCCCCGUCUUUCACACUUUUAACUAAGGAUCGAGGAGGGCAGAGAACCACCAUUAGGAGAACACUUUUGUCAAGCCUUUCAAUUUAUCUUAUUAUUACUUGAUUUUUUACGUAUAUUUUACAACCAGUCGUGAGCAACAGAAACUCCCCUCUCAAAACUUCUGUUUCUAAAAUUGCGAAAAACUGUUAUUGAGAAUUCCACAAGAUUAUCCAGAAACAGGUCACAUUAUUAUCUGAUUUUUUACAUAUAUUUUACAACCAGUCAUGAGCAACCAAAAACAACAGAAACCGCCCCCCUCAAAACUUCUGCUUCUAAAAUUGAGGAAAAAGUGUUAUAGAGAAUUCCACAAGAUUAUCCAGAAACAGUUCGGGAGAGAUAUAUUUGCUGUCAUUCCUUUUCCUUAAUUCCACCUCCCAAGUAAACAAUAAGGGGAAAAAAAAAGCCCACAAAACUACUGCUUCCAAAAUUAACCCGUCCGCUACGAUUGGCAUGGAUUUGGCCUUCACUGGUAGCCUGGUAACAUACACUCCCAGGUCUUUCUUUGCCUCUGUGGUGGAUAGUGGAGUGUUUCCCAUGUGGUAUUGGUGCGCUGGAUAUCCCUUCACUGGUAGCCUGGUAACAUACACUCCCAGGUCUUUCUUUGCCUCUGUGGUGGGUAGUGGAGUGUUUCCCAUGUGGUAUUGGCAUGCUGGAUAUCCUCUCCCAAGGUGCAGGACUUUACAUUUUUCCUCACUGAAUUGUAGCAGCCACUUUUUGUUCCAUUCCUGUAGCUUGGUGAUGUCUUCUGGUAGGAAAUCCGCAGUGAAGGAGUUAAGGAAAAAAGUGAUAAAAGAUUCCAAAAGAUUAUUCAGAAACAGUUUGAGAGAGAUAAUUAUUUGCUGUCAUUCUUUUCAUAUAAUUUCACCCUCAAUUGUUCAUCCUAAUGGUGGUAAUCUACUCCUCCUCUUCUUUUAAAAUGUGCGUGCCUGAUUGUAUACCUUUCCUCUGUGAAUGAUAUAAAUGGGAAGCCUAUAUAUAUAUAUACCUAAUCUAAAUGUCUGUAUGCCUGUAUAUAUAUGUAAAAGGUAUGUUCGUAUGUCCCUGGUCUGUUCUUUCUAGUAGUUGACUGCAUUGAUGUCUAUAUUAAUUGUUACUAUACUCAUUUAUCUUCCAUGUGGUAAUUCCCUCUCUAUAUUUACUCUGGUGGUAGCGAUGUAACAAUUCCACUUAUAAUUAUUUCAUGGGGUACUUUUCUUCCUUUUAAUCAGUGGUGUAGUCGUAGAAGUAGUGUGUAUUUUCGUCCUCUUUCCCUGGGCAUUCGUUUCCCAUUUUCUCUCCCCGGGCACUCCUGUUUUCUGUUAACGGUGAGGUGGUAUACUGUCCUAUUUUUUUUAAUCAGGUAGGUAUACACUGAGCUCUGAUAUAUUGGCCCCAUCCUUCCCUGCUUCCUGUAUCUUGCUUUCUGGCUUAGUAGAAGAGGGCGUAGAUGGUGAGGGUGGGUGGGUGGGGUUGUGUAGAUAUGGGAGGAGGGAGGAAGUAAUGAAGGUAGGAAGGGAGGGAGGAAGAGAAGGAAGGAAGGAGAAAAAGAAAGGAGGGAAGGAAGUAGAAAUGAGGAAGGAGAGGAAAGAAGAAAGAAAGAAAGAGGGAAUAGGUAAGGAAUAAAAAAAGAAGAGAGGAAAGAAGAAAGGGAAGAAGUAGAAAGGGAAUUAGGGAGGAAAGUAAAAAGGAGUGAAAAAAAGAGAAAGGAAGAAAAAGAAGAAAGGAAGGAAAAAACAAGAGAAAAAGGGAAAAAAGAAGAAAAAGAAAGGAAGGAAAAAGAGAAAAGGAAGAAAAAGAAGGGAUUAAAGAAGAAAGGAAGGAAAAAACAAAGAGAGGCAGAAAUAAAGGUACAAAAAAAGAGAAAAUAAAAAAAGAAAGGAGAUGAAAUAUGAAAACCAGGAAAAAGGAAGAAAAAACAGACCCAAUUUUCAGAGUAGGAAGAAAAACAAGAUAAAUUAACAA